AUAUAUGACCUGGCAAUUGACAGAAUCAGACAUUUCGUCUGAAAUCCCAUAAGGUAACUCGCAUCCUGGAAGGAAGAUAUCUCGCUUGAACUACUGCAAAGAUAUACGCAAAUCGGCCGAUCUGCUUGUAAAAGUUGACGCGACCAUCUGGUUAAAGGAACGCCGCAUCGCCAAGUAUAACUGGAUCUUACUUUUACAGGACAAGGACGAUUAAGGACGGCAUAAACAACGCGUACGGGUGGAUAUUGGUUGGAUGCCCACAUCAGGUUGCCGGCACUUGCAAACGAUCACAUAUUUCAAAGACCUGCUGCAUUGAACUUUACGACGACUAGCAUGCAGGAUAUCGAACAGCGAGAUCCAUUCCAGUAACGACACUUACUGUACAGUAAAUACACGCCAUUUAUCUUCGUGCGUCAUCGCUUCGACACCGGAUAUUAUUUUUAAAACCUCAAUUCUCCGCCGUUCUCAUAAACAAAGACGGUUGAAUCAGGGCUUGGAAGAUAUUGUUACAAAAACCCACCGUACACGCUGGUAAUCAGUUCUGUAUUCGAUUCGACCUCCCAGGAAAAAGGCCAGCAGUUUUAAGAGCAAUUUGACGUAGCUCCAAACCAUGUCUGCAAGAACUCUAAAGAGGCGUUUAUACGACUGGGUUGCAUCAUGGAGUAUAUCCUUUCGACGAAAAGAUUCAAAUUCGAGCGCUUCGUCGACGACUCACUCCAAUUGUAGUAACUUUAGUUCGGCUGAAAGUACAGUUUCCGUUUUAAAAAGUAGCACCACGAGAUUGUCCAGUUCGAACAUUAAAAAGGUGGUGCGGUUUGCGGAGGAGGACGGCAAGGUGCUUACACAAAUCUUGAACAAUAACGAGCCAAACAAAAACAUUUUAGGGUCUUUGGACGAGUCGCUGGAGGACGUUUACAUGAGAGACGGUGUUAUAAGAGGAUUUAUAACUGUGAAAAACUUAGAAGCGGGAAGACAAGUUUUAGUUCGCUACACCGAGGACAACUGGCUUGGGUUUAAACAAGUGACAUCAAAGCGUGUACAGAGAACGAUAGACUCAAAAGGUAGACAACAGCUGAGGGAGGUGAAGGAAAAAAACAGCAGAUUACCGAGACGAAGGAAACAGGUCGACCCCAGUUCCGAUUGCACGUACGAAAAGACAUAUUUCUUCAAAAUCGAAGUCGACGAAACGAAAUUGAAUGAUGUUGAACUAGUUAUAAUUUCGAGUUUGGACAAUGUGAUUGACACAAAUCAUCGACAGUGUUAUUCCUUCAAGUGUGUACGGCGAAGUUGGGAGGCAAACAGCACUGUGUGUUCGAGGUCAAGAGAUGUAAAUAGCAGUUCAAGGCAAUUAUAGACUGCAAGUGUUGACAAUUUGGAAUAUCCCUAAAUGCAAUAUGGCAGAUCAAACUGACGUGAAGAUUUAGCCUUUGAGAAUAUAUUCCUCUGGCGAAAACAUUGAAAUAAAGUUUGCAUGUGAGUAUAUAGAUUAUAGUAGAAACUUUAUAUCAUAACUGCAGUUUGUAGUGUCCGUCGUAACAACAUAAUCGUUUCCAUUUGUAUAAAAUAGUAUAAUAUAAAAUUUGCCAGAGAACAACUGUACAUACAUAUUAUAGGUAUGUUGCGAAUAUGUUUUGCGACUAAAUAUAUAUAUAUAUAUAUAUAUAUAUAUAUAUAUACAUAUAUAUAUAUAUAUAUAUAUAUAUAUAUAUAUAUAUAUAUAUAUUAGUUAAAUUCGUGGGAUUUUACUUCCAUGACCUUGAAUAUAUCAAGGUUGAUUAAAGCCUCUUAAAGGUGAGAUUAGUUCCGUUCUGCGCAACUGUUCUGCGCAUAACAAUGUUAAUUAAUGGCGACCGGCUGAACUAAAGUUUCCUCACAUGCACGACUCGAAUUUUUCAGAACAGAAGCUCUAGUUCAUAUUUACGAAGAUACAUAGCAUGUUAAACUUUCCGACAAGGCGUCACAAUUUGAAUAAUAUUGCAGUUCAGAGUGUAAACAAUGCAUUAGCCAUUACGGAUUUUUCAUCACCUUUAAAAGUAUCGGCUUUUAUUAAUAAACUGACAGUUUUAUUAUAGAGCAAGUACUUGAAUUCAACGUAAGGUUUUAGAUUCUCGCCUUUGCUAGUGAUGCAUUUGAAGGUAUAUAAUCGAUAAGGUGUAAAAAUUUGACACUACUCACUCAUUUUUCUGAAUCAGAACACGAAUUGCUGGCAGGUUUCCGCUGUUAUGCUUGAAAAUUUAACAAAAUAUCUCCACUUUACAUUUUGAAGUUUAUUCGGCUUUUAUUUGUUUAAAAAAUGCACAAAAUGUUACCCAUUAUUUCAGCAUAGCAUCUUGACCGCCAUUUUGUUUUGAAAUUUUAAAUGCCUAAUUUUAAAGGCGUUGCCGCUGAUUUAAAACGCGGUUUCGAUUAAGACGCUCGCUUUUGAUUGGUUGUUCAGAAGAGCAUCUCCUUUUUGAUUGGUCCUUCUACAAAGUUUUUAACGUAUCUUUCAAAUGUUUAAAAAAAUGUGAUAUAAAAAUAUUUUCAUAUGCAUUUAUACUACCAAAGGCACAUUUUAGCCUUUUGAAUGAUGGUUUUAAGGUAAAUUACAAUCCUAAUUAAUAUCGAUGAAAUAAAAAGUUCACCACGAAAGUUAAGAAUAACCUGAGAAUGCCGAAUUCAAUAGUUUUGUUAAUCAAAAUGUUAAAAAUAAUAAAUUAUCGAUCUUGAGUUAUGCUUAAUAGAUUUCCCUAGUUGGUUUUUUAAUUUAAAGAGUAGUAAUUCGUCUUAAAACCAACCAUUCAAAAAGCUGAACUUCACUUUGCAGACCUAAAAAUGUGAAUUCAUUCUUAGAUCAGCAAUCCAAAAGCGAGAUAAUCAAUUACUACAUGUUUGUAUAAAUCAUGUAGAUUUAGAAAUGGUAGGUUAUAACAACAUUAGGGCUGAACAACAAAUGAUGCAAAAUUGACAUCCAUUUGUCAUCAGCAAAAUAGGACUUACCUUGAAUGACCAAAAUAGUCACUUUUUAAACGCAUGGCAAUUGAAAAUUGUCACAAGUCGUAAGGUACUGUAUAACGCAAAUUCCAUUCACACAAUGGAUUUUAGGAUGUGGUUGUAUGUUAUAUAUUUUUAUAGUUAUUUGUUUUCGAUACUGUUAAAUUGUGUCAAGAUGGAUAAGCUAAGAUUUGAGGCUUCUACAAAAAGCUAUCCAGCGUUUACAUAGGACAAAAACUGGUUGACGAAGAGUACAAGUACAUUGGCGUGUUGUAUUAUUGUAAGACAUAGUAGAGUUUCUAAUUUAUUGCUAGUUUUUUUAAGUGUCGUCAGUUUAUCGUGAGAUAUCUCGAAUCGCAGCAAAAAGAAGAAAAAGGUUUUGUAAGGAAAUAAGCAUUCUUGUCACAAAAUGAAAUUCAAAUAUUCGAAUUCCUUAGCAAACGUCCUUUCGGAGAAACGUUUCAUUGUUUUCUUAGAAAUAUAGUCUUGUGUGAAACUGACGUACACAAAGGUGCAGUUGUUACGAGGUGUAGUGUAGACGCAUGUGAGUACUUAGUAUAUUUGCAAAGCAAACUUUAGUUAAAUAGACAACAAAUAGAUUCAGCUCAUUCUGACAACUCGCCAUAGCCAAAAUUUUAUAGUUUCAUCUUCAGUUAAAUAGAAAAUGUCACUUGUAUAUCUAAAUUAAUUGCACUAU